UACGGAGGGGGCUAGCGUUGUUCGGAAUUACUGGGCGUAAAGCGCGCGCAGGCGGCUUUGUAAGUUAGAGGUGAAAGCCCAGGGCUCAACCCUGGAAUUGCCUUUAAGACUGCAUCGCUUGAACAUCGGAGAGGUAAGUGGAAUUCCGAGUGUAGAGGUGAAAUUCGUAGAUAUUCGGAAGAACACCAGUGGCGAAGGCGACUUACUGGACGAUUGUUGACGCUGAGGUGCGAAAGCGUGGGGAGCAAACAGG
rnacentral:rRNA from 1 species